AACUUUCGGCAACGGAUCACUUGGUUCUGGCAUCGAUGAAGAACGCCGCGAAAUGCGAUAAGUAGUGUGAAUUGCAGAAUUCAGUGAAUCAUCGAAUUUUUGAACGCACAUUGCGCCCCUUGGUAUCCCGAGGGGCAUGCCUGUUCGAGCGUCAUUUCAAACCCUCAAGCUUUGCUUGGUAUUGGGCUUCAUUCCCUCCUUUUUAUUAAGGUAGUAAUGUGCCUUAAAUGUAGGCAGCGGCAAGUAUUAGUUCCGAGCGUAGCAGUUAAAACAUUUCGCUCUAGGAAUCUCAGUAUAUUGUCAGCUAUAUACAAUAAAACUACUAUUUUGACCUCGGAUCAGGUAGGGAUACCCGCUGAACUUAAGCAUAUCAAUAAGCGGAGGCU
rnacentral:misc_RNA from 1 species